UACGAAGGGGGCUAGCGUUGCUCGGAAUCACUGGGCGUAAAGCGCACGUAGGCGGGUCCUUAAGUCGGGGGUGAAAUCCCGGAGCUCAACUCCGGAACUGCCUUCGAUACUGGGGACCUCGAGUCCGGGAGAGGUGAGUGGAACUGCGAGUGUAGAGGUGAAAUUCGUAGAUAUUCGCAAGAACACCAGUGGCGAAGGCGGCUCACUGGCCCGGUACUGACGCUGAGGUGCGAAAGCGUGGGGAGCAAACAGGG
rnacentral:rRNA from 1 species